rnacentral:rRNA from 1 species
UGAGCAAUCUGCCCUUCUCUUCGGAAUAAGCGUUGGAAACGACGUCUAAUGCCGAAUACGACCUCCUUUCGCAUGAUCGGAGGUGGAAAGCUCCGGCGGAGAAGGAUGAGCUCGCGGCCUAUCAGCUAGUUGGUGUGGGUAAUGGCCCACCAAGGCGACGACGGGUAGCCGGCCUGAGAGGGUGAUCGGCCACACUGGGACUGAGACACGGCCCAGACCUCCGUACGGGAGCAG